GGCGGCGUGCUUAACACAUGCAAGUCGAGCGGAAAGGCCCUUCGGGGUACUCGAGCGGCGAACGGGUGAGUAACACGUGAGUAACCUGCCCCUGACUCUGGGAUAAGCCCGGGAAACUGGGUCUAAUACCGGAUACGACGCGUCCUCGCAUGGGGUGCGCGUGGAAAGUUUUUUCGGUUGGGGAUGGACUCGCGGCCUAUCAGCUUGUUGGUGGGGUAACGGCCUACCAAGGCGACGACGGGUAGCCGGCCUGAGAGGGCGACCGGCCACACUGGGACUGAGACACGGCCCAGACUCCUACGGGAGGCAGCAGUGGGGAAUAUUGCGCAAUGGGCGGAAGCCUGACGCAGCGACGCCGCGUGGGGGAUGACGGCCUUCGGGUUGUAAACCUCUUUCAGCAGGGACGAAGUUGACGUGUACCUGCAGAAGAAGCGCCGGCUAACUACGUGCCAGCAGCCGCGGUAAUACGUAGGGCGCAAGCGUUGUCCGGAAUUAUUGGGCGUAAAGAGCUCGUAGGUGGCUUGUCGCGUCGGGUGUGAAAGCUUGGGGCUUAACUCCAGGUCUGCAUCCGAUACGGGCUGGCUAGAGGUAGGUAGGGGAGAACGGAAUUCCUGGUGUAGCGGUGAAAUGCGCAGAUAUCAGGAGGAACACCGGUGGCGAAGGCGGUUCUCUGGGCCUUACCUGACGCUGAGGAGCGAAAGCGUGGGGAGCGAACAGGAUUAGAUACCCUGGUAGUCCACGCUGUAAACGUUGGGCGCUAGGUGUGGGGGACCUUCCACGGUUUCCGCGCCGUAGCUAACGCAUUAAGCGCCCCGCCUGGGGAGUACGGCCGC
rnacentral:rRNA from 1 species